UUCUUUCAUGUCCAGCUAUAUUACCGAACCCCUCUCUUCUUAUUACAAUCUCUUGUAGUUCGUAUAUAGUAAGAAGUAAAGUCAAAGAAGGAUUAUUGAGGGAAUACAGUGGAGCAACCAGGUAAACCAACUUUCAUAUUCUGUAUCUUGUGUUUACAGAACUAGUAAUAGUAAGGAUAAUUAGUAGUUUGAUAAGAAUAGACAGUUGGUUUGGUUAAAUAAUUGUUGCUAUUUGACUGGAACUCGUAUAUGAAUGAUGGGUAAAGUAUAUUAAGUAUAAUUUUAUAUUACUGUCCAUUGAAUGUGAAAAUUAAAAAAAAAUCAAUUUUUAAGAAUAAGGAAACUAGUUAGUUGUUAAAUACUUGAAUAUAUUUGAAGUUGAUUUAUAUAUUGGUUAUGCAUAUUUAUAGCUGAUCAAUGAAUUGUUAUGGCUGGAACAAGAUUAGAGGAGAUAAGUUGGUUGUGCGGAGGCAUAAGAGAGACUAAAUGGGUUUGAAAUUCAAACAAAUAGCCAUGAAAUUGGUAGCUUAGAACAGUGCGCACAAGUUGUUCGAUAAAAGUCCCAAGUGGACUGUUUUGGCUAAAAGUUCCAAGUGGACUCCGCUCCCUCCCCACUGCAAUUUACACGUCGCUGUUCCGGACCUCCGUUAACCGCCCUCAAAUUUUGACCCCCCCUCAAAUUUCGUUCUGGUUCCGCCACUGCAACGAACCAAGUAGAGCGAACAAAAAACAAAUCGGUUAUAACGAUAAUUUUUUCUGUUGCUAUAGAAAUAUAUAUUUUAAGUAUAUAUAAUUACAGGGGCACAGCUGGCAGGUAUUAAUUAGUACAUUUUAAGCUAAAAAUUAAUUAAUUAAUUUUUAUAAAGUUUACAUAAGUGGGGUGGGGGGACGGAAGUGAGCAAUAUAACUGGACUGGGUUGCAUGGG
rnacentral:lncRNA from 1 species